GAUGAACGCUAGCUACAGGCUUAACACAUGCAAGUCGAGGGGUAACGAGAGGAAAGCUUGCUUUCCUUGUCGACGACCGGCGCACGGGUGAGUAACGCGUAUCCAACCUGCCCCCAACUAGGGAAUAACCUUGCGAAAGUAAGACUAAUACCCUAUAAUUUCCUCAGAUUUCAUCUGACGAGGAAUAAAGAUUUAUCGGUUGUGGAUGGGGAUGCGUCUGAUUAGCUUGUUGGCGGGGUAACGGCCCACCAAGGCAACGAUCAGUAGGGGUUCUGAGAGGAAGGUCCCCCACAUUGGAACUGAGACCCGGUCCAAACUCCUACGGGAGGCAGCAGUGAGGAAUAUUGGUCAAUGGGCGGAAGCCUGAACCAGCCAAGUAGCGUGCAGGAUGACGGCCCUAUGGGUUGUAAACUGCUUUUAUACAGGAAUAAAGUUAGCCACGUGUGGUUAUUUGUAGGUACUGUAUGAAUAAGGACCGGCUAAUUCCGUGCCAGCCGCCGCAGUAA
rnacentral:rRNA from 1 species